UUUGCUUUUUUUAAUUAACAUAUAAUAAUUCUAAACAUCUAGAAUUUAAAGGAAUGCAUUGCAUGAUUUGCCGGUGGAAAUAAGUUCCAGUAAGUUACUGUGUAAUCAUUGCUUUAUUUGUAUAAAGCUGUGAAGUGCUUUUAUGUUCUUUUCUAUAAAGAUGAAUUCCAUGUGGUACAUACUUCUCAAAAAUGUCUUUGUAGUGAAAUUCUUUCUACAAAGUGCCAAGGAUUGUAGUAUAAAAUAUGUUUAGAUUAAGCAGAGAGAUUUAUUACCAUAAGGAAUAAAUAUGUGUGCAUGAUUUUCUUUGGAAAUCAUAAUAUGAUCUGCUCUCAUUCUUGGACUGUAAUCGGAGUGAACAAAUAGUUUUCGCUUUUCUUCAGGUGUUCAAUGCUGCAAGUUAAGUAUCUUCUCAAUUAUAUACUAAUCUUCACUUGCACAUUAAUGUUGCAUCUUCCAUAUGCUGUCAAGUAUCAUAUAGUAUUAAAGUCUGAUUCAGAAGAUUCAAACGCAGAUUAUUUUUCUCCAUUCAGCACAUCAUGAGCCUGAAAAUUUUACCCUUUACUAUCCAACAGGAUUGUUUAAUAUAUCAAAUACCUCUUUGUGUUAUUUUAGUUGAUACAUAAAUAAGUUGGUAACUCUUAGAAUAGCUCACUGAAGUAGUAAGACAAUAUUCACUUUCUUGCCGUAAAUUGUAAAUUGCACGCAGCUACGACCACUGCUUUGCUUUACCACUUGUAAUUUAUACAAAUAGAUCAAUGAUGUACUGCAGAGCAGUGUGUAUCCUACUGAAUAUAAUACUGAUUUUUUGGCAUUUUAACUUUGUUUUCCUUGUCUAACAGAUAUAAGGGACAACACUGCUGGAAUGUGUCCAUGGAUUAAUAUAAUGACAGAAAGUUAUGAAGGCAAAGGCAUAGUUCAAAAACCCUCUGUUCCAACACUGGCUACAAUCAAAGUCAGUCUGGCUGCAUGAAUAAUUAUUGCUGUGUGAUCUCCAGCAUAGUCUGAUGUCAAAAAUAAUGUGUGUCUAAAUUUGUGAUGUUUUAUGAUAAUUGCCUAAGAAAAUCUUCCAUCACCUUGAGCGUAGAACCCACUGAAAUAUUAUUGGACCACAACAGGCCAUUGCACAACUCUUAGAUCUUAGAAGCUCCUGGGAGAAUCUCUGUUUUACAUCUAAGCAUAAACUCACACGCCUUGCAUGCUCAGACUAUUAAAAUGAAUUGACAUGUUAAUGCUGACAGCGAGUAGUUACUAAAUUACUGCUCAGCCAACCAGAAGGAACUCUUAAGCACUGAACUCCUUCCCCUAUCUCCUCAGCACCACCUGAAGCAAAAUACACAUCUUUAUUCUAGAAUGUACUGAAAGAAACAAACAUUAAAAGGGGCUGAAUGUCCUGUUAGUGAUGUACCUGUCAUAAAUCAGUGGGAUUUUAAUCAUACCUGUCAACCUCCCUUGCUUCCCCCCUUUGAGGGUCUGUUUGCAUUCUGCUCCCUCCUUCACUCACUUCCAAUUAUCUGGAAGCUGUUCCCUUGUUUAUUUAUUUAUCUAAAGUUCACAUACAGUAUGCAUGCUCAAAUUUUCUCCAGAGGGAGAUGAGGCGGAUCCAACAAAGGUCCACUGGAGCGUGUCAGCUAACAGCUGAAUGAAUGUACUGAGCCUUUAAACCUGGUUUGGAAAUAAAUGACAGGAGGGGGGUUGAUUCUAAUUAGUGCUUACAAUGAUGGAUUAUGCCUUAAUAUCUAGCUGUUUCACCUUUUGACUGCUAUUUGACUUUCUGCGUAUUGUAUUAGAGUUCCAGAAGGACGGAAAAACAUCUCUAGUAAAUGGUUUAUUCACCUGAUUAAAAAUUCAACUGAAAUUAUUGUACCAGCUGCUUAACUCUGUAAGCAUGUUGUAAUUCUUAAUUUAAAUCCUUGCAAAUGCUGGGUGGGUGGGGUUGUUGGGGAGAAAGGGUGAAGUGGUUUAAUUUGCAAGAGUAACGAGUGGAAUAUAUGAUAUUGGAGCCGUGAAUAUUGUUGACUCAGACGGAAGCAGCUGAAGCAGUUUAUGGAUGGGGUGACGGGUGUCCCCAGUGAUCUUCCAGGCCCUCUUUACACACCUGCUGCUAUGAAUGUCCUUAAUGGAGGGAAGUUCACAUCUGCAGAUGCUCUGGGCUGUCCGUACCACUCACUGCAGUGCCCAGCAAUUAAGGUUGGUGCAAGGAUGCCUGCAAAAAAUGAAUCUCAGGUGCAGCCUGACCUGCUGAGUUCCUCCAGUGUUUUGUGUGUGUUGCUUUGGAUUUCCAGCCUCUGCAGACUUUCUCGUGUUUAUGGUCCUUAUUGUGCAGUGGCUUGCUGGAGCCUGCUGUGUAUAAAUUGAAUUCUGAGUUUCCUACAUCACAACCAUGCUUAACAUUCAAAGUAAGCUGCAAAUCGAUUGUCAACUAUUUUGAGAGAUCCUAAGCUUUGAAAGGUUCCAAUAGUUUCUUUUGAUACUUUGUGUUACUUUGAGAAAAAAAAACUCCUUCAUUCACAUAGAUGUACUUGAAAUUCCUUUCAUUGCAGAAAAGAUUUUCAUACAUUUAAUAAUUGAUGCACUAUAAUUCUGAUGGUGGCAUAUUUCAGACAUGGGACGCUUGUGAAAGAGGCUGGUAGAGCUACCUCUGUUGCAAACUUGGUAUAGUUUGUACAUUCCUGGUCUCCAACCUUUAUUAUACCAGCAAAAUUAAGCAAGGGGUCUGUGGAUCCCAGAAUGAUAUACUAGACUUUAUUAUAUCAUUAGAUAUCAAAUAAGUCUUCUAGUGAAGUUUAGAAAAACAAAA